CAGGUUUACCUGUGUGACUGCGUACCUUUUGUAUAAUGGGUCAGCGACUUAUAUUCUGUAGCAAGGUUAACCGUAUAGGGGAGCCGUAGGGAAACCGAGUCUUAACCGGGCGUUAAGUUGCAGGGUAUAGACCCGAAACCCGGUGAUCUAGCCAUGGGCAGGUUGAAGGUUGGGUAACACUAACUGGAGGACCGAACCGACUAAUGUUGAAAAAUUAGCGGAUGACCUGUGGCUGGGGGUGAAAGGCCAAUCAAACCGGGAGAUAGCUGGUUCUCCCCGAAAGCUAUUUAGGUAGCGCCUCGUGAAUUCAUCUCCGGGGGUAGAGCACUGUUUCGGCUAGGGGGCCAUCCCGGCUUACCAACCCGAUGCAAACUGCGAAUACCGGAGAAUGUUAUCACGGGAGACACACGGCGGGUGCUAACGUCCGUCGUGAAGAGGGAAACAACCCAGACCGCCAGCUAAGGUCCCAAAGUCAUGGUUAAGUGGGAAACGAUGUGGGAAGGCCCAGACAGCCAGGAUGUUGGCUUAGAAGCAGCCAUCAUUUAAAGAAAGCGUAAUAGCUCACUGGUCGAGUCGGCCUGCGCGGAAGAUGUAACGGGGCUAAACCAUGCACCGAAGCUGCGGCAGCGACGCUGAUGCGUUGUUGGGUAGGGGAGCGUUCUGUAAGCCUGCGAAGGUGGCCUGUGAGGGUUGCUGGAGGUA
rnacentral:rRNA from 1 species